UGAAAAGCAGCUGGAAAAUACAGUCAGACGUACAGUAAGGUGCAGAAGCUCGGGCCACGCCGGCGCGCGGAGGUGGGGUUACCCAGCAGAGGCGCGGGGAGCGCGCAGGGCCAGAAGCUUCAGGCCAGCCACACAAGGACGCGCUGCGGCACCCAACGGAUUCGUCUCGCCCGGGCCGCUGCCACCCCCGGGCAGCCUCUGUCACCCAGGUCACUGGACAACUAUCUGCAUCACAAAUGCGCUUAGGAAGAGAAGACUGAAAGGGACUGUCGAGAUCCUGGUGGACCACCAAUUCCAGCUCUCCCCAUCACAGUCAACCCUGCAUUAAAAAUUUUGUCCAGGAUAGCCUGCAGUAUAUGCUUUGUGUGUACCGGAUCUACCAAACUCUGUGACAGAAUGAAAACUCCCUAGAAACAAAAACCUCAUCGGGUAUCACUUGGGGAAGAUGUAAAAAGUCUUGAAACUGUAAACUUUCCUUCAAAAGAAAUUACCUUCCUGAGCAACUGAGUAGCACUCACCUUUAUUUCCUUUACAGAAUAUUUCUACUGUAAGGAUAAAUGGGCAUGCACACAAAUGACAGACAGUUUAACCACUGUGAUUUAACUAUGUGUUGUUACACUGUGUUAGCUCUCACCCUCAUUAAAGUAUCUCUCACAGAUAAGUAUCUGUGAGAGAAAACUGGUA